rnacentral:rRNA from 1 species
GACGAACGCUGGCGGCGUGCUUAACACAUGCAAGUCGAACGGAAAGGCCUGCUUUCCCUUGUGGAUUGCGGGUACUCGAGUGGCGAACGGGUGAGUAACACGUGAGUGAUCUGCCCCCAACUUGGGUAUAAGCCUGGGAAACUGGGUCUAAUUCCCGAUAGGACUGCAGGGUGGUGCCUGUGGUGGAAAACGAUUUUCUAGUGGUUGGGGAUGAGCUCGCGGCCUAUCAGCUUGUUGGUGGGGUAAUGGCCUACCAAGGCGGCGACGGGUAGCCGGCCUGGGAGGGUGGACGGUCACAUUGGGACUGGGACACGGCCCAGACGCCUACGGGAGGCAGCAGUGGGGAAGAUGGCACGAUGGGCGGAAGCCUGAUGCAGCGACGCUGCGUGGGGGAUGACGGCCUUCGGGUUGUAAACUCCUUUCGACCGCGAGGAAGCCACCUGGUUGGAAGGGUGGUGACGGUAGUGGUAGAAGAAGCACCGGCUAACUACGUG